UGUAAGCGUAUACCAAAGUUGUUGCAGUUAAAACGCUCGUAGUCGGAAUUUGGCAGUUCCGGAUGUGUGCACGUCGUGUGCGCACUUCGCGGGGAUUGCUUUUGUGGUCUUGCGUAGGAUGAGGCACUUUUAUUAGUGAACGUCCUCACGCAACCACUUUUUACUGUGAGAAAAUCAGAGUGCUCAAAGCAAGCAUUUGCCGUGAAUGUAUUAGCAUGGAAUAAUAGAAUAGGACUUGGUUCUAUUUUGUUGGUUUGUUGGGACUGAGUAAUGAUUAAGAGGGACAGUUGGGGGCAUUUGUAUUUCGGUGCUAGAGGUGAAAUUCUUAGAUUACCGAAAGACAAACUGCUGCGAAAGCGUCUGCCAAGGAUGUUUUCAUUGA
rnacentral:rRNA from 1 species